rnacentral:rRNA from 1 species
UACGUAGGGGGCAAGCGUUGUCCGGAUUUAUUGGGCGUAAAGCGCGUGUAGGCGGCCAUACAGGUCAGCUGUGAAAACUCGAGGCUCAACCUCGAGACGUCGGUUGAAACCGUAUGGCUAGAGUCCGGAAGAGGAGAGUGGAAUUCCCGGUGUAGCGGUGAAAUGCGCAGAUAUCAGGAAGAACACCCGUGGCGAAAGCGGCUCUCUGGAACGGUACUGACGCUGAGACGCGAAAGCGUGGGGAGCGAACAGG